GCAGCUCAGUGGUUGGGCAUCUGCUUUGCAUGCAGAAGGUCCGAAGUUCAAUCCUUGGCAUCUCCA